CAUACGACCGUACCGCAAACCGACACUGGUGCGCGAGAUGAGUAUUCUAAGGCGCUUGAGAGAACUCAGGAGAAGGAACUCGGCAAAUUGACACCGUAACUUCGGAAGAAGGUGUGCCCUAUUAGUGUGUAGUGAACAACGAAGCAUGAAUGGGUUGCAAAAAAUCGGUGGCUGCGACUGUUUAUUAAAAACACAGCACUCUGCAAACACGAAAGUGGACGUAUAGGGUGUGACGCCUGCCCGGUGCUGGAAGAUUAAAUGAUGGGGUGCAAGCUCUUGAUUGAAGUCCCAGUAAACGGCGGCCGUAACAAUAACGGUCCUAAGGUAGCGAAAUUCCUUGUCGGGUAAGUUCCGACCUGCACGAAUGGCGUAACGAUGGCCACACUGUCUCCUCCUGAGACUCAGCGAAGUUGAAAUGUUUGUGAUGAUGCAAUCUCCCCGCGGAAAGACGGAAAGACCCCAUGAACCUUUACUGUAGCUUUGUAUUGGACUUUGAACAGAUCUGUGUAGGAUAGGUGGGAGGCUUUGAAGCAGGGUCGCUAGAUCUUGUGGAGCCAACGUUGAAAUACCACCCUGGUGUGUUUGAGGUUCUAACCUAGGUCCAUUAUCUGGAUCGGGGACAGUGCAUGGUAGGCAGUUUGACUGGGGCGGUCUCCUCCCAAAGCGUAACGGAGGAGUUCGAAGGUACGCUAGUUACGGUCGGACAUCGUGACGAUAGUGCAAUGGCAUAAGCGUGCUUAACUGCGAGACUGACAAGUCGAGCAGAUGCGAAAGCAGGACAUAGUGAUCCGGUGGUUCUGUAUGGAAGGGCCAUCGCUCAACGGAUAAAAGGUACUCUGGGGAUAACAGGCUGAUACCGCCCAAGAGUUCAUAUCGACGGCGGUGUUUGGCACCUCGAUGUCGGCUCAUCUCAUCCUGGGGCUGUAGCCGGUCCCAAGGGUAUGGCUGUUCGCCAUUUAAAGAGGUACGUGAGCUGGGUUUAAAACGUCGUGAGACAGUUUGGUCCCUAUCUUCCGUGGGCGCUGCAGAUUUGAGGAAGCCUGCUCCUAGUACGAGAGGACCGGAGUGGACACACCUCUGGUGUAUCGGUUGUCACGCCAGUGGCAUUGCCGAGUAGCUAAGUGUGGAAGAGAUAACCGCUGAAAGCAUCUAAGCGGGAAACUCGUUUCAAGAUGAGAUCUGCCGGGGCCUUGAGCCCCCUAAAGAGUCGUUCAAGACCAGGACGUUGAUAGGUCAGGUGUGGAAGCG
rnacentral:rRNA from 1 species